CGNUGAUCCUGCCGGACCCGANUGCUAUUNNNGNGAGAAUAAGCCAUGCGAGUUGAAUGGGAUNCCUAAAGUUCCCAUAGCAAACUGCUCAGUAACACAUGAUCAACUUACCCNAUAGAGAAAAAUAACCUCGGGAAACUGAGGAUAAUGUUUCAUAAUUGAAUUGGCUUGGAAAGGUUUUUCAAUGAAAAGGAUAUAAAAAAAUGGUUUUUAUCUGCUAUAGGAUAGGAUCGUGGACGAUUAUGGUUGUUGGUGAGGUAACGGCUCACCAAGCCGAUAAUCGAUAGGGGCCGUGAGAGCGGGAGCCCCGAGAUGGGUACUGAGACAACGACCCAGGCCUUACGAGGCGCAGCAGGCGCGGAACCUCCGCAAUACACGAAAGUGUGACGGGGUUACCCAAAGUGUUCAAUAGAACUGUGGUAGGUGAGUAAUGUCCCCUACUAGAAAGGAGAGGGCAAGGCUGGUGCCAGCCGCCGCGGUAAAACCAGCUCUUCAAGUGGUCGGGAUAAUUAUUGGGCUUAAAGUGUCCGUAGCCGGUUUAGUUAGUUCCUGGUAAAAUCGGGUAGCUUAACUAUCUGUAUGCUAGGAAUACUGCUAUACUAGAGGGCGGGAGAGGUCUGAGGUACUACAGGGGUAGGGGUGAAAUCUUAUAAUCCUUGUAGGACCACCAGUGGCGAAGGCGUCAGACUGGAACGCGCCUGACGGUGAGGGACGAAAGCCAGGGGAGCGAACCGGAUUAGAUACCCGGGUAGUCCUGGCCGUAAACGAUGCAUACUAGGUGAUGGUACGGCCAUGAGCCGUAUCAGUGCCGUAGGGAAACCGUUAAGUGUGCCGCCUGGGAAGUACGGUCGCAAGGCUAAAACUUAAAGGAAUUGGCGGGGGAGCACAGGAAUUGGCGGGGGAGCAC
rnacentral:rRNA from 1 species